rnacentral:rRNA from 1 species
AAUGGGUCAGCGACUUAUAUUCUGUAGCAAGGUUAACCGAAUAGGGGAGCCGAAGGGAAACCGAGUCUUAACUGGGCGUUAAGUUGCAGGGUAUAGACCCGAAACCCGGUGAUCUAGCCAUGGGCAGGUUGAAGGUUGGGUAACACUAACUGGAGGACCGAACCGACUAAUGUUGAAAAAUUAGCGGAUGACUUGUGGCUGGGGGUGAAAGGCCAAUCAAACCGGGAGAUAGCUGGUUCUCCCCGAAAGCUAUUUAGGUAGCGCCUCGUGAAUUCAUCUCCGGGGGUAGAGCACUGUUUCGGCAAGGGGGUCAUCCCGACUUACCAACCCGAUGCAAACUGCGAAUACCGGAGAAUGUUAUCACGGGAGACACACGGCGGGUGCUAACGUCCGUCGUGAAGAGGGAAACAACCCAGACCGCCAGCUAAGGUCCCAAAGUCAUGGUUAAGUGGGAAACGAUGUGGGAAGGCCCAGACAGCCAGGAUGUUGGCUUAGAAGCAGCCAUCAUUUAAAGAAAGCGUAAUAGCUCACUGGUCGAGUCGGCCUGCGCGGAAGAUGUAACGGGGCUAAACCAUGCACCGAAGCUGCGGCAGCGACACUAUGUGUUGUUGGGUAGGGGAGCGUUCUGUAAGCCUGUGAAGGUGUACUGUGAGGUAUGCUGGAGGUAUCAGAAGUGCGAAUGCUGACAUAAGUAACGAUAAAGCGGGUGAAAAGCCCGCUCGCCGGAAGACCAAGGGUUCCUGUCCAACGUUAAUCGGGGCAGGGUGAGUCGACCCCUAAGGCGAGGCCGAAAGGCGUAGUCGAUGGGAAACAGGUUAAUAUUCCUGUACUUGGUGUUACUGCGAAGGGGGGACGGAGAAGGCUAUGUUGGCCGGGCGACGGUUGUCCCGGUUUAAGCGUGUAGGCUGGUUUUCCAGGCAAAUCCGGAAAAUCAAGGCUGAGGCGUGAUGACGAGGCACUACGGUGCUGAAGCAACAAAUGCCCUGCUUCCAGGAAAAGCCUCUAAGCAUCAGGUAACAUCAAAUCGUACCCCAAACCGACACAGGUGGUCAGGUAGAGAAUACCAAGGCGCUUGAGAGAACUCGGGUGAAGGAACUAGGCAAAAUGGUGCCGUAACUUCGGGAGAAGGCACGCUGAUAUGUAGGUGAAGUCCCUCGCGGAUGGAGCUGAAAUCAGUCGAAGAUACCAGCUGGCUGCAACUGUUUAUUAAAAACACAGCACUGUGCAAACACGAAAGUGGACGUAUACGGUGUGACGCCUGCCCGGUGCCGGAAGGUUAAUUGAUGGGGUUAGCGGUAACGCGAAGCUCUUGAUCGAAGCCCCGGUAAACGGCGGCCGUAACUAUAACGGUCCUAAGGUAGCGAAAUUCCUUGUCGGGUAAGUUCCGACCUGCACGAAUGGCGUAAUGAUGGCCAGGCUGUCUCCACCCGAGACUCAGUGAAAUUGAACUCGCUGUGAAGAUGCAGUGUACCCGCGGCAAGACGGAAAGACCCCGUGAACCUUUACUAUAGCUUGACACUGAACAUUGAGCCUUGAUGUGUAGGAUAGGUGGGAGGCUUUGAAGUGUGGACGCCAGUCUGCAUGGAGCCGACCUUGAAAUACCACCCUUUAAUGUUUGAUGUUCUAACGUUGGCCCCUGAUC